rnacentral:rRNA from 1 species
GGCAAGGGCGUUUGGCACACGGCUCAGCAACACGUGGCUAACCUACCCUUUGGAUGCGUUAAUCCCGGGAAACUGGGGAUAAUGCGCUAUAGGAAACCUGUUCUGGAAAGUCUUGUUUCCGAAAAAGAAGCAACUAUUGCCGUUGCUUUCUGCCGAAGGAAGGGGCUGCGGCGUAUUAGGCUGUUGGCGGGGUAAUGGCCCACCAAACCUUUGAUGCGUACGGGCCUUGAGAGAGGGAGCCCGGAGAAGGGUACUGAGACAAGGACCCUAGCCCUACGGGGUGCAGCAGUUAGGAAACCUUUACAAUGCGCGAAAGCGUGAUAGGGUGACUUUGAGUGCCAACACUGUUGGCUUUUGCCAAGUCUAAACCGCUUGGCGAAUAAGUGGGGGGUAAUAUACGUGCCAGCCGCCGCGGUAAUACGUAAUCCACAAGUGGUGCUCACUAAUAUUGGGCCUAAAACACCUGUAGCCCGCCGAUUAAGUCUUUGGUGAAAUCGGACAGCUUAACUGUUCGAAUGGCUAAAGAUACUGUUCGGCUAGAAGCUGGGAGGCGUGAACGGAAUUUUUUGGGUAACGGUGAAAUGUUAUGAUCCAAAAAAGACCUCCAGUGGCGAAGGCGGUUCACGAGAACAGUCUUGACGGUGAGAGGUGAAAGCUGGGGGAGCGACCCGGAUUAGAUACCCGGUUAGUCCCAGCCGUAAACGAUGUGGACUUGGUGUUCCAGCAUCUUUAUGGUGCAGGAGUGCCGUAGCGAAGGCGUUUAGUCCACUGCCUGGGGAGUACACUCGCAAGGGUGAAACUUAAUGGAAUUGGCGGGAGCGCACUACAAGGGGUGGAUGCUGCGGUUCAAUUGGAUGCAACGCCAGAAUAUCUUACCAGGGACGACAGCAGAAUGAUGGACAGUCUGAAGGGCUUUCCUGACACGCUGAGAGGUACUGUAUGGUCAUCGUCAGCUCGUACUAUGAAGCGUCCUGUUAACUCAGGCAACGGGCGAGACCCACGCGCAUAGUUGCAAUUUCCAAUUUUUUGGAAAGCACUCUAUGCGGACUGCGGAGGAAACUUUGAGGAAGGAGUGGGCCACGGUAGAUCUGUAUGAUCCGAAUUUCCUGGGCUACACGCGGCAUACAAUGGCUGAUACAAUGGGACCCUAACCCGAAAGGGCGCGGAAAUCUCCUAAAAUCAGCCUCAGUCCAGAUUGAGGGCUGUAACCCGCCCUCAUGAAGUUGGAAUCCCCAGUAAUCGCGCGUCACUAUCGCGCGGUGAAUAUGUCCCUGCGCUUUGCACACACCGCCCAUCAAGCCAACUGAAUAGGGCUUUGAUGAGGUGGCCUCAUUAGAGGUCAACGAUUCUGAGUCUUGUGAAGUGGGCUAAGUUGUAACAAGGUG